UCCCUCUUAACUCAGGUGGUAGAGCGCGUCACUGGUAUGUUUAUUUGUAGAGGUCAGUUGUUCAAGUCGGCUAGAAGUGU